AGUUAAUGUUUACUGUACGGUUAUUACAUAUACAGCUUCUCCGCGAAGCUUUCUCCCAGCUGCCAGGACAAAAACCACCUGCAAUCACAAAUACUUUUCAAUAUAUUAACAAUUCAAAUUUGAAAUCACUUACCAACACUUUCUUUCUCUGCCGGCUACAGGCAUCUCUGCAAUCACUUUGAUUUGUAAAUUAGGCGUCUUGAACACACUUCCCUGGGCUUUGUUGCAAUAUAGGCUUCGAAAAAGAAGAGAUUACUGCUCCUUCAAUGAAUUAAUUCAGUGCUCCUCAGCUCUUUUUGCAAGAGAAGACUGUGAGAAGCUGAAAAUUAUAUACUCCUUGGUCCUUAGAGUAGAAAGAGGGGAAUGGAUUAUCUUGGAAGAUACCUGAAUUUGUUGGAAACUGGACAAAUAUCAAGAGAUUGUACUAUCUGUUGUUUAUGCUUCACUUUGUUUCAAUUUGGAUAUUAUUCUAUUGAAAUUAUAAGAACCAUACUUCCAUAUACCAUUCGUUUAAUUCUGAAAGUUUGUCGUAGGGACUUGCAGGGCACGUGAAUGAGUGGUCAUUUUGCCAUCUCCCUUUUCAAUAAUCUUGAACUCAUGAAACCUAGGAGACAUUAAACCGACUAUUAGCCUGAAUUAUAUCAGAUGAACUAUAUGAGAUACCAGUCAUUGAGGAGAAGUUGUGGGUUCGAUGAACAGAAAGCAAAUCCUGACGGUGAAGAACGUUUACACAGUUUUGAAACUUUUGAGCAGGUUUGCCACUGAUGCUCAGAAAUACAAGCUUCUAAAUCAGGAUGAGCGCCCCUGGAUUUGUGAAAGAGCCAACUGUUGUUGUGGGUGAACGUGAAAAAGCGGCUGUUCUUAAAGAAUAUGACAACAAUUUACCCGAUUUAGGCCUCAGAGAUCAAGAAUCUGACCAGGAUUUCGUGUCCAUCUGCAAGUUCUUUCUCUGAGCAAUAUCAUUCCACAUUGUUGCUAGGCUUUCAUAGGCUUAAGAGCUCUCUUUGGCUACAUCAGCUAGCUCCUGGAGGUGCAUAUCUUGCUGUGAAGCCUAUGAACUUGGAUAUUAGUGCUACUGCAAUUUUGUGUUCAAAUAUGUUUAGAAAAUCUAACAAGUCAUUGUAACUGAUUUAUGUGAGUCGCUAUGUAUUUAAAGUUAGUGAAAUAUGUUUAUCAUAUAUGUACUAUUAAACUGUAUCCGGACAAGAAUGAGUCCUAUUUUUGUUUAAAUUUGAUUUUCAUGGUUUAUUUUA